rnacentral:lncRNA from 10 species
CCCGGGUUCACGUGAUUCUCCUGCCUCAGCUUCCCGAGAAGCUGGGACUACAGGCGUCCGCCAUCAUGCCCGGCUAAUUUUUAUAUUUUUAGUAGAGAUAGGGUUUCACCAGGUUGGCAAGGCUGGUUUCAAACUCCUGACACCAAGUGAUCCGCCUCGGUCCCCCAAAGUGCUUGGAUUAUUGGCAUGAGCCACCGCGCCUGGCCUGAACUUGGCUUUCUAAACUCCGUUUUGUGUUUCUGGUAUUUGGACUAUGGAAACUUCAGUUUCUCAUUUGACAGCUGGUUCCUUGCGAUGUUCUACCGACAGGGAGACAUAGAAAGAGAUGGAAAGAUGAAAAAGAAAAGACAUGCCCUGUUUGUUUGUUAUGCUUGUCAACAUUGCCUCUGCAAUAUCCCUUCAACUUUUUACUAAUUCCGAUUCUAGCUUUUUUCGUAUUCUCGGCACCAGCUGGACAAUGCCAUCGCCAUCCCCCCAGAGGCAUAUCCUGAUCAUCAUCUACUAGAACAGCAAGAGAAGAUAAAACUGGAUGUGCGAGUUCAAAGGUCUACAUUUUGCAAUACGAGAGAACAGCUGAAUUGAACUAGGGAGACAUGAAUUUGUCAUGAAUAAAUCUUGCAGAAGGACUGUAUUCAAACUAUGGAGAUAUGAUAUACAGUGAAUAUAUUUGUGGUUAGCAAAAUGAUGUUACAGUUUUAUGAUAAUAAAUUUCUUAUAAAAAAGAAAGAGUUCUAAUUUAUUGUAUUAUCUUUAGUAUCUUGCACAGUUCUGGCAUGAAUUAGAUAUUAAAACUUUCUACUCCAAAUUAAGCAAU